CAGCAGCCGCGGGAAUGCGUAGGUGGCAAGCGUUGUCCGGAAUUAUUGGGCAUAAAGGGCUCGCAGGCGGUUUCUUAAGUCUGAUGUGAAAGCCCCCGGCUCAACCGGGGAGGGUCAUUGGAAACUGGGAAACUUGAGUGCAGAAGAGGAGAGUGGAAUUCCACGUGUAGCGGUGAAAUGCGUAGAGAUGUGGAGGAACACCAGUGGCGAAGACGACUCUCUGGUCUGUAACUGACGCUGAGGAGCGAAAGCGUGGGGAGCGAACAGGAUUAGAUACCCCGGUAGUCCCUGUCUCUUAUAC
rnacentral:rRNA from 1 species